rnacentral:lncRNA from 1 species
AAAAAACUCCGCCUGUUCAUCCACAGUCUGCAAACUUCAGAAACAGCCAUGCACUUCUCAUCCUUUCCGAGCCAUAUUGUGUUGCUCCCUGCUGUGAUUAAAAAAAGCUAAUAAAUUAAAUCUGAAACCGCAAACCCAGUUUUUGAGAAAAGGGGUUGAUCUCUCCCUUCUCUCUCUCUCUCACACACACACAAUCUUUUGCAAUGCUACUCUCUGAUUUCAUUAUGAAAAGUAAAAUACAGCGGGGUUUCUCUGAAGGGAAGUUGUACAUGAAAGACAUGAAGAUUGGGAAGAAACUGUAUGGAGCCACCCACCGCAGACUGACUCGAAGCAACUGUGGGCAAAGAAAAAGUUAAAAGCAAAGAAAGGUUACCGAACCGUAAAGAAAAGUCAAGAAACCGAACUGCAAUCUGCCACUCGAGUUUGUAAUGUGGCUCUGGGAUUUAGGUUUAUUAACGCGCAUUUUAAACUUUGAUUCCACAGAUUGUGUAAACUACGAGAAAAUAAAAUGAAACGGUUUUUACCACCCGAGACAAAAGAGAUGUCC